rnacentral:lncRNA from 1 species
UUUGUAAUGUGAGACAUUUAUUUUGGUUACAACUUUAGAGUGCGUUAACACUGGUGGUAGACUAGAGGCUAAACUUUCCUUUUCCUCCCGGAUGGCAGGACCUCCCAUGCCUGGCAGGUGACAGUGCUCUGCCUCACCCCACCAUCCCCUGCCCUCUGAACCUCUUCGGUCCACUGAAUCACUUUUUACGGAGUUAACCUAACGCUGGCAGAGGAAAAUGGAAUACAAGUUAAAUAUCCAGCCAUUCUCUCUAUGCUAUGAUCAGGACAAAGCCUGUAAAAGAAUUAUGAAAAAGACAAUUUCCUGUGAGAAAAUCUCUUAUCCUCGUAUUAUAAGAUCAGUGCUUAUCUUGAUUAAAACAUUUAGCAUCUUAAAUACUAUGAGCAACUUAAGAGUGCUGGAGCCCAGAAGAGCCUUAGUAUGGGCCAAGAGUUCCCUCAUUUGGUAAGUGUUAGUCUGUGCUCUCAAGACAAUAGAACAGCAAAGAAACAGACCUACUCCUGGAAAAGGCAGGCAGACUUUAGAAGAUUGAGAAGAGAAACCAUUUUUACGUUUGUAAUUUUUACCUGGAUGUUUAUAAGUCAUAGAAAGUGUCUGGGUCUGA